CCUAAACAAGACAGCAACAAUAGUCUCAAAAGUAGUAUGUCCAAGAAUGUUGGAAGGCUCAAUAUAUAUGCCUGUGACAGGCCUACAAGCUUUGUAGUUGUCCAGCAACGAGGUUGAAGAGAGACCCCAAAGAAAGAGCCCACAGGCAGCGACAGAGACAUCAACGGUUCACUGCAUACGGAAUCUUACAAGUCUGAAGCAAAAGUUCUGGAGUGACACCCCACUGUGUAUGGCAGGCAGCAGACAGGAUACAGCAACAGUCUUCACUACUUGGGUUCUGGAAGCCAGAUGUCCAAGACCAAGGCGUCAGCAAGUUUGAUUUCUUCUAAGGCCUCUGUCAUUGGCUUGCAGAUGGGACUUUUUGCUGUCUUCACAAGGCGUUUGCAUAUGGCCUUUGUACCUCUUCCCCUUCUUCUAAGGACACCAUUCAUAGUGUAGAGCCGCAACCAUAUGACCUCGUUUAACCUUAAUUACCUCUUUAAAGGUCCUAUCUCAGGGACUUCCCUGGUGGUCCAGUGGUUAUGAAUCUGCCUUCCAAUGCAGGGAACGUGGGUUCAAUCCCUGGUCGAGGAACUAAGAUCCCACAUGCCACGGAGCAACUAAGCCAGUGUGCCGCAACUAGAGAGAAGCCCACACGCCACAACGGAAGAUCCCUCAUGCCGCAACAAAGACCCCACAUGCUGCAACUAAGACCCGACGUAGCCAAAUAAAUAAAUAUGUUUUUAAAAAGUUAAAAGAAAAAGAGUAAUAAAUGAGAUGAUUCCUACAGUUGUCAUAGCUAUCUGCCUGGAGACAUUAUCCAAUCCACAGGAUAGGAAGUAUAACCCAAGCGGAGCAUGAUGGUCUUGCUGCAUUGAAGAGGCAGAGAUUGGUUUGAUGAGGAUGAAGCAGCUGGAAUUGGGAAUUCCCU